UACGUAGGGUGCGGGCGUUAAUCGGAAUUACUGGGCGUAAAGCGUGCGCAGGCGGUUCGUUGUGUCCGAUGUGAAAGCCCCGAGCUCAACUUGGGAAUGGCAUUGGAAACUGGCGAGCUGGAGUGUGGCAGAGGGGGGUGGAAUUCCACGUGUAGCAGUGAAAUGCGUAGAGAUGUGGAGGAACACCGAUGGCGAAGGCAGCCCCCUGGGCCAACACUGACGCUCAGGCACGAAAGCGUGGGGAGCAAACAGG
rnacentral:rRNA from 1 species